GUGGGGAAUCUUAGACAAUGGGGGCAACCCUGAUCUAGCCAUGCCGCGUGGAUGAUGAAGGCCUUAGGGUCGUAAAGUCCUUUCGCCGGGGAAGAUAAUGACGGUACCCGGUAAAGAAGCCCCGGCUAACUCCGUGCCAGCAGCCGCGGUAAUACGGAGGGGGCUAGCGUUGUUCGGAAUGACUGGGCGUAAAGCGCGCGUAGGCGGGCGGUCAAGUUGGGGGUGAAAGCCCGGGGCUCAACCCUGGAACGGCCUCCAAUACUGACGGCCUAGAGUUCGAGAGAGGUGGGUGGAAUUCCGAGUGUAGAGGUGAAAUUCGUAGAUAUUCGGAGGAACACCAGUGGCGAAGGCGGCCCACUGGCUCGACACUGACGCUGAGGUGCGAAAGCGUGGGGAGCAAACAGG
rnacentral:rRNA from 1 species